rnacentral:rRNA from 1 species
AUUGAACGCUGGCGGCAGGCCUAACACAUGCAAGUCGAACGAGUGGCGGACGGGUGAGUAAUGUCUGGGAAACUGCCUGAUGGAGGGGGAUAACUACUGGAAACGGUAGCUAAUACCGCAUACCAUCAGAUGUGCCCAGAUGGGAUUAGCUUGUUGGUGGGGUAAAGGCUCACCAAGGCGACGAUCCCUAGCUGGUCUGAGAGGAUGAGCAGCCACACUGGAACUGAGACACGGUCCAGACUCCUACGGGAGGCAGCAGUGGGGAAUAUUGCACAAUGGGCGCAAGCCUGAUGCAGCCAUGCCGCGUGAAUGAAGAAGGCUUUCGGGUUGUAAAGUACUUUUGUCGGGGAGGCGUUACCCGCAGAAGAAGCCCCGGCUAACUCCGUGCCAGCCGCCGCGGUAAUAC